rnacentral:tRNA from 1 species
CCCUGGGUGGCAUAAACAGUUAAGUGCUUGACUAUUAGUCAAAAGGUUGGUGGUUUGAACCCACCCACAGGUG